GACGAACGCUGGCGGCAUGCCUAAUACAUGCAAGUCGAGCGAACAGAUGGAGUGCUUGCACUUCUGACGUUAGCGGCGAACGGGUGAGUAACACGUAAGGAAUCUACCUAUAAGCGGGGGAUAACAUUCGGAAACGGGUGCUAAUACCGCAUAAUAUCUUCUUUCGCAUGGAAGAAGAUUGAAAGACGGCUCUGCUGUCACUUAUAGAUGACCUUGCGGUGCAUUAGUUAGUUGGUGGGGUAACGGCCUACCAAGACGAUGAUGCAUAGCCGACCUGAGAGGGUGAUCGGCCACAUUGGGACUGAGACCCGGCCCAAACUCCUACGGGAGGCAGCAGUAGGGAAUCUUCCGCAAUGGGCGAAAGCCUGACGGAGCAAUGCCGCGUGAGUGAAGAAGGCCUUCGGGUCGUAAAACUCUGUUAUAAGAGAAGAACAAAUUGUAGAGUAACUGCUACAGUCUUGACGGUAUCUUAUCAGAAAGCCACGGCUAACUACGUGCCAGCCGCCGCAGUAA
rnacentral:rRNA from 1 species